rnacentral:rRNA from 1 species
UACGUAGGUGGCAAGCGUUGUCCGGAAUUAUUGGGCGUAAAGCGCGCGCAGGCGGUCCUUUAAGUCUGAUGUGAAAGCCCACGGCUCAACCGUGGAGGGUCAUUGGAAACUGGGGGACUUGAGUACAGAAGAGAAGAGUGGAAUUCCACGUGUAGCGGUGAAAUGCGUAGAGAUGUGGAGGAACACCAGUGGCGAAGGCGACUCUUUGGUCUGUAACUGACGCUGAGGCGCAAAAGCGUGGGGAGCAAACAGG